rnacentral:rRNA from 1 species
UGGCAAACGGGUGCGUAACACGUGGGUGACCUACCCCAAAGUGGGGAACAACAGACCGAAAGGUUUGCUAAUACCGCAUUCGCUCGGCGAUUCAGUUUGCCGAGUAAAGCCGCAAGGCGCUUUGGGAGGGGCCCGCGUCCCAUCAGGUAGUUGGUGAGGUAAUGGCCCACCAAGCCGAUGACGGGUAGCUGGUCUGAGAGGACGAUCAGCCACACUGGAACUGAGAAACGGUCCAGACUCCUACGGGAGGCAGCAGUGGGGAAUUUUCCGCAAUGGGCGCAAGCCUGACGGAGCAACGCCGCGUAAGGGAUGAAGGCUUUCGGGUCGUAAACCUUUGUCGUGCAAGAAGAAUGUCUUUUGGGUAAAUAAUCCAGAAGAAUGACUGUAUUGCAGGAGGAAGCUCCGGCUAACUACGUGCCAGCAGCCGCGGUAAGACGUAGGGAGCUAGCGUUGUCCGGAAUUAUUGGGCAUAAAGGGCGCGCAGGUGGUUAGGUAAGUCACCUGUUUAAUCCGCAAGCUUAACUUGCGAUCGGCAGGUGAAACUAUCUAGCUAGAGUAUAGGAGAGGAAAGCGGAAUUCCCAGUGUAGCGGUGAAAUGCGUAGAUAUUGGGAAGAACACCGGUGGCGAAGGCGGCUUUCUGGACUAUUACUGACACUGAGGCGCGAAAGCCAGGGGAGCAAACGGGAUUAGAUACCCCGGUAGUCCUGGCCGUAAACGGUGGACACUAGGUGUAUCCUGAGUUAUCGGGAUGUGCCGAAGCUAAUGCAUUAAGUGUUCCGCCUGGGGAGUACGCCCGCAAGGGUGAAACUCAAAGGAAUUGACGGGGGCCCGCACAAGCGGUGGAGCAUGUGGUUUAAUUCG